rnacentral:rRNA from 1 species
GACAGAGGGUGCAAACGUUGUUCGGAAUUACGGAGCGUAAAGCGCGUGUAGGCGGCUAAGUAAGUCGGGCGUGAAAUCCCACGGCUCAACCGUGGAAGUGCACUCGAAACUGCAUAGCUAGAGUCCUGGAGAGGAAGGUGGAAUGCUUGGUGUAGAGGUGAAAUUCGUAGAUAUCAAGCGGAACACCGGUGGCGAAGGCGGCCUUCUGGACAGUGACUGACGCUGAGACGCGAAAGCGUGGGGAGCAAACAGG